AUUGAACGCUGGCGGCAGGCUUAACACAUGCAAGUCGAGCGAGCGGCGGACGGGUGAGUAAUGUCUGGGAAACUGCCUGAUGGAGGGGGAUAACUACUGGAAACGGUAGCUAAUACCGCAUAACAUCCGAUGUGCCCAGAUGGGAUUAGCUCGUAGGUGGGGUAAUGGCGCACCUAGGCGACGAUCCCUAGCUGGGCUGAGAGUAUGACCAGCAACACUGGAACUGAGACACGGCCCAUACUCCUACGGUAGGCAGCAGGGGGGAAUAGUGCACAAUGGGCGCAAGCCUGAUGCAGCCAUGCCGCGUGUGUGAAGAAGGCCUUCGGGUUGUAAAGCACUUUCAGCGAGGAGGCGUUACUCGCAGAAGAAGCACCGGCUAACUCCGUGCCAGCAGCCGCGGUAAUAC
rnacentral:rRNA from 1 species